rnacentral:rRNA from 1 species
UACGAAGGGGGCUAGCGUUGCUCGGAAUUACUGGGCGUAAAGGGCGCGUAGGCGGCGCCAGUAGUCAGGCGUGAAAUUCCUGGGCUCAACCUGGGGGCUGCGCUUGAUACGCUGGUGCUAGAGGACGGAAGAGGCUCGCGGAAUUCCCAGUGUAGAGGUGAAAUUCGUAGAUAUUGGGAAGAACACCGGUGGCGAAGGCGGCGAGCUGGUCCGUUACUGACGCUGAGGCGCGACAGCGUGGGGAGCAAACAGGAUUAGAUACCCUGGUAGUCCACGCCGUAAACGAUGUGCGCUGGAUGUUGGGGGCCCUAGGCCCUCAGUGUCGUAGCUAACGCGGUAAGCGCACCGCCUGGGGAGUACGGCCGCAAGGUUG